rnacentral:tRNA from 1 species
CUCGCCGAUGCCGGGCGGAUGACCAUGCUGUGGGCGUUGAUGGACGGUUCAGCCCGUCCGGCGGGG